UUUUAAGUAAAUAAAGAGUUGAAGUUCAUGUUCAACCCUCCCGUGACUCCUCCUCCGAUCCAGAUUGUUCACCCACAUGAAUGACACCUUCAAAUAUUCCAUUUAAUUUGGCUUCAAUGGAAUUUACCCAUAACGUCUUAUUAAUUUAAUAACCAUCCUCUCUUGUAUUCUUUUUUACUAUAAAUAUCAAUGGCCUCUCGAUACAGCCCACAGAUUGAAGUAUAUCAAGAGUGAGAGAUGGCAAACCUCAAAUUAGCACUUCUCCUUCUACUCUCCAGCUGCCUGAUCACGCUGGUUUCGGCAGCAAUGGCUACCGCUGCAAGACCGGUCAACAACUGUCGCGUUGACCCUUCCAGGCUCGUCGCUUGCAAGUCGGCCGUCACAGGGAAAUAUCCACCGCCGAGUGCUGCAGACUGAUGAGAAGGGCCAACUUGCCGUGCCUCUGUCGAUUCAAGAGCUUCCUCCCUGCCUUUGGUAUCGA
rnacentral:lncRNA from 1 species